GGUACCUGGCACUGCGUGUCUAUAUUUGCGGCCAGUGAGUAGCUCUUACUCUGGGUAUAUCUAUUACUGCGAAUUUCUGUUUACUGUGUUGAAUCUGUAAACGUGCCUGUUACUUUAAUGUGAGUAUCCAUUACCUGUGGGUUUCUGGACCGGCAUAUCCUUGUGUGUGUGUGUGUGAGACAUUAUCGUGUGGCAUUCCACCAGCUUCCCUCCCAAUGGCAGUUCCGGGGAAGGCUGUGUUCCUGACUGGAGCAGGACAAAGACACUUUUCCCCUGGAAAUGGUCCGUGUGUUGAGCUGGGAAGGGUAAUUGCAGGUAAUUUCUUUGUUUACCGUGAUCCAGGUUCCCGGGUAGGAAGCUGUGCCAAGCGAUGCCUCGGUCGCCGUGGUUACGGCUGGCAGCUCCCAGUGACUCAUGGCCCCAGAAGCAGCAGGAGGCCUCGCCGGCGAACUUCUCCGGGCUGGGAGCUGCUGCCAUUUCGCAACGCCCGCAGGGACAGACAGCAUGGCGGCACCAGGAAUCUGCGGCCACCUCUGGGCCCGCUGGAAGAACAGGAGGACAACCGAACAGGGAGAGGAAAUGGAGCAGAAACGUGGAGGGAAGGAAAGAAGGAUAGGUAGGGAAGAGGGAAGGAAAGACGAAAGGUCCAAGAGGGAAGUGGCCGAGGGGAAGGGAGGAGGGAAGAGGGGGUGAUCACACACAGUGAACACUCAAUAAAUA
rnacentral:lncRNA from 1 species